rnacentral:rRNA from 1 species
CUGGUGUAUUCCCUUGGACGGGUCAACAUCAGUUUGGACCGGCGGAAAAUGGCGGGAGGAAUGUAGCAVCUCCGGUUGUGUUAUAGCCUNUNGUCGUAUACGUUNGUNUNGACUGAGGAAUGCAGCUNCCUUUNUGGCCGGGGUUCGCCCACGUUCGAGCUUAGGAUVUUGACAUAAUGGCUU